CUACUGACGGUACCGGAAGAAUAAGCACCGGCUAACUACGUGCCAGCAGCCGCGGUAAUACGUAGGGUGCAAGCGUUAAUCGGAAUUACUGGGCGUAAAGCGUGCGCAGGCGGUUUUGUAAGCCAGAUGUGAAAUCCCCGGGCUUAACCUGGGAAUGGCAUUUGGGACUGCAAGGCUUGAGUAUGGCAGAGGGGACUAGAAUUCCUGGUGUAGCAGUGAAAUGCGUAGAGAUCAGGAGGAAUACCGAUGGCGAAGGCAGGUCCCUGGGUUAAUACUGACGCUCAUGCACGAAAGCGUGGGGAGCAAACAGGAUUAGAUACCCUGGUAGUCCACGCCCUAAACGAUGUCGACUGGUUGUUGGGGGUUUGACACUCUCAGUAACGAAGCUAACGCGUGAAGUCGACCGCCUGGGGAGUACGGCCGCAAGGUUAAAACUCAAAGGAAUUGACGGGGACCCGCACAAGCGGUGGAUUAUGUGGAUUAAUUCGAUGCAACGCGAAAAACCUUACCUACCCUUGACAUGUCCUGAAGCCCGGUGAGAGCUGGGUGUGCCCGAAAGGGAACGGGAACACAGGUGCUGCAUGGCUGUCGUCAGCUCGUGUCGUGAGAUGUUGGGUUAAGUCCCGCAACGAGCGCAACCCUUGUCAUUAGUUGCUACAUUUAGUUGGGCACUCUAAUGAGACUGCCGGUGACAAACCGGAGGAAGGUGGGGAUGACGUCAAGUCCUCAUGGCCCUUAUGGGUAGGGCUUCACACGUAAUACAAUGGCGCGUACAGAGGGUUGCCAAGUCGCGAGACGGAGCCAAUCCCAUAAAGCGCGUCGUAGUCCGGAUUGCAGUCUGCAACUCGACUGCAUGAAGUCGGAAUCGCUAGUAAUCGCGGAUCAGCAUGUCGCGGUGAAUACGUUCCCGGGCCUUGUACACACCGCCCGUCACACCAUGGGAGUGGGUUUUACCAGAAGUAGUUAGUCUAACCGCAAGGGAGACGAUUACCACGGUAGGAUUCAUGACUGGGGUGAAGUCGUAACAAGGUAGCCGUA
rnacentral:rRNA from 1 species